rnacentral:rRNA from 1 species
ACUGCUCAGUAACACGUAGUCAACAUGCCCAGGGGACGUGGAUAACCUCGGGAAACUGAGGAUAAACCGCGAUAGGCCAUAAUUCCUGGAAUGGUUUAUGACUGAAACCUAUAUGGCCCCUGGAUUGGACUGCGGCCGAUCAGGCUGUUGGUGAGGUAAUGGCCCACCAAACCUGUAACCGGUACGGGCUCUGAGAGGAGAAGCCCGGAGAUGGGCACUGAGACAAGGGCCCAGGCCCUAUGGGGCGCAGCAGGCGCGAAACCUCUGCAAUAGGCGAAAGCCUGACAGGGUUACUCUGAGUGGUUCCCGCUAAGGGGAUCUUUUGGCACCUCUA